rnacentral:rRNA from 1 species
GNCNNGNGGGGCGUGCUUACACAUGCAAGUCGACGGUGAAGCUCAAGCUUGCUUGGGUGGAUCAGUGGCGAACGGGUGAGUAACACGUGAGCAACCUGCCCCGGACUCUGGAAUAAGCGCUGGAAACGGCGUCUAAUACUGGAUAUGACACCAAUCCGCAUGGGUAUGGUGUGGAAAGUUUUUCGGUCUGGGUGGGCUCGCGGCCUAUCAGCUUGUUGGUGAGGUAAUGGCUCACCAAGGCGACGACGGGUAGCCGGCCUGAGAGGGCGACCGGCCACACUGGGACUGAGACACGGCCCAGACUCCUACGGGAGGCAGCAGUGGGGAAUAUUGCACAAUGGGCGAAAGCCUGAUGCAGCGACGCCGCGUGAGGGAUGACGGCCUUCGGGUUGUAAACCUCUUUCAGCAGGGAAGAAGCGAAAGUGACGGUACCUGCAGAAGAAGCACCGGCUAACUACGUGCCAGCAGCCGCGGUAAUACGUAGGGUGCGAGCGUUGUCCGGAAUUAUUGGGCGUAAAGAGCUUGUAGGCGGUUUGUCGCGUCUGCUGUGAAAAUCCGGGGCUCAACCCCGGACUUGCAGUGGGUACGGGCAGACUAGAGUGUGGUAGGGGAGACUGGAAUUCCUGGGGUAGCGGUG